rnacentral:rRNA from 1 species
GAUGAACGCUGGCGGCGUGCCUAAUACAUGCAAGUCGAGCGAACAGACGAGGAGCUUGCUCCUCUGACGUUAGCGGCGGACGGGCGAGUAACACGUGGAUAACCUACCUAUAAGACUGGGAUAACUUCGGGAAACCGGAGCUAAUACCGGAUAAUAUAUUCAACCGCAUGGUUCAAUAUUGAAAGACGGUUUUGCUGUCACUUACAGAUUGAUCCGCGCCGCAUUAGCUAGUUGGUAAGGUAACGGCUUACCAAGGCAACGAUGCGUAGCCGACCUGAGAGGGUGAUCGGCCACACUGGAACUGAGACACGGUCCAGACUCCUACGGGAGGCAGCAGUAGGGAAUCUUCCGCAAUGGGCGAAAGCCUGACGGAGCAACGCCGCGUGAGUGAUGAAGGUCUUCGGAUCGUAAAACUCUGUUAUUAGGGAAGAACAAAUGUGUAAGUAACUAUGCACGUCUUGACGGUACCUAAUCAGAAAGCCACGGCUAACUACGUG